AACAAAUAACAAAUGGAACAAAAAGAAAAGAAAAAAAUAUGAAAAAAGAAAUGGGAAAAGAACGCCAAACUAAAAAACCUUUUUCAAAAUUUAAAAGUAAUUCUUUAAAAAUUAAAAAGCAAAACCAAAAUAAAAUAAUUCUUCAAAACACACAUAAGGACUCAAACCUGGAACCCAAAGGUAAACUAACACACUCACCACC
rnacentral:lncRNA from 1 species